AGAAUUUAGCAGAGAUGCUUUAGUGCCUUCGGGAACUCUGAGACAGGUGCUGCAUGGCUGUCGUCAGCUCGUGUUGUGAAAUGUUGGGUUAAGUCCCGCAACGAGCGCAACCCUUAUCCUUUGUUGCCAGCACGUAAUGGUGGGAAACUCAAAGGAGACUGCCGGUGAUAAACCGGAGGAAGGUGGGGAUGACGUCAAGUCAUCAUGGCCCUUACGAGUAGGGCUACACACGUGCUACAAUGGCGCAUACAAAGAGAAGCGACCUCGCGAGAGCAAGCGGACCUCAUAAAGUGCGUCGUAGUCCGGAUUGGAGUCUGCAACUCGACUCCAUGAAGUCGGAAUCGCUAGUAAUCGUAAAUCAGAAUGUUACGGUGAAUACGUUCCCGGGCCUUGUACACACCGCCCGUCACACCAUGGGAGUGGGUUGCAAAAGAAGUAGAUAGCUUAACCUUCGGGAGGGCGUUUACCACUUUGUGAUUCAUGACUGGGGUGAAGUCGUAACAAGGUAGGCGUAGUGCU
rnacentral:rRNA from 1 species